UGCUACCUCCCACAAACACAAAUUCUUACAUACAACUUCAACUCACUAAUAAAAAACCCACAAUUCAAACAAACAAACAUAACAAGAAAAACUUUGUAAACACCACAACAAAGACAACACAAUAACUAGGUAGAGAAAUUACGAGCAAUAGGCUGAAUGGGAUUUCUUGAAAGACACAGAACAUGUAGGAGGAGAGCUCAAAUGGGUGGUUAAAAUUAAUCCCGAGAUUGGUUAUUCCUUAUCCCUCGUACCAAACAAGCCCUCAUUAAUAAAACCCCAUAAAUUCAGACAACAAACAAAACAUAUCCCUCGUACCAAACAAGCUCUCAUUGAUAAAACCCCACAAAUUCAGACAACAACACUUUAUAAACACCAGAACAAAGAAAAAACACAAAAGGGGUAGAGAAAUUACGAGCAACAGGUUGAAGGGGUUUCUUGGAAGGCACAGAAAGUUUAGCAGGAGAGCUCAAAUGGGUGGUUGAAAUCUUGAGACCACUCAAUUGGGAUGUCAUAAAACUCAA
rnacentral:lncRNA from 1 species